rnacentral:rRNA from 1 species
AUUGAACGCUGGCGGCAGGCCUAACACAUGCAAGUCGAGCGGAGCGGCGGACGGGUGAGUACUGCCUAGGAAUCUGCCUGGUAGUGGGGGAUAACGUCCGGAAAGGGGCGCUAAUACCGCACAAUAUCAGAUGAGCCUCGGUCGGAUUAGCUAGUUGGUGUGGUAAAGGACUACCAAGGAGACGAUCCGUAACUGGUCUGAGAGGAUGAUCAGUCACACUGGAACUGAGACACGGUCCAGACGCCUACGGGAGGCAGCAGUGUGGAAUAUUGGACAAUGGGCGAAAGCCUUAUCCAGCCAUGCCGCGUGUGUGAAGAAGGCCUUCGGAUUGUAAAGCACUUUAAGUUGGGAGGCGUUACCAACAGAAGAAGCACCGGCUAACUUCGUGCCAGCAGCCGCGGUAAUUC